rnacentral:rRNA from 1 species
AUCUACAGCCAUACUACCCAGUAUAUGCCCAAUCACAUCUGCUCUCAGAAGGUAAGUGGGAUCUGGUCUGGUCAGUACUUGGAUGGGAAAACACCUGAAGAAAUUCAUGAUCACCAAAGCAA